CCCUUAGAUGUUCUGGGCCGCACGCGCGCUACACUGAUGCAUUCAACAAGUUCUACCUUGGCCGAGAGGCCUGGGAAAUCUUUCAAAUAUGUAUCGUGAUAGGGAUAGAUUAUUGCAAUUAUUAAUCUUGAACGAGGAAUUCCUAGUAAAUGCGGAUCAUCAUUCUGCGUUGAUUACGUCCCUGCCCUUUGUACACACCGCCCGUCGCACCUACCGAUUGAAUGAUCCGGUGAAGCCUCGGGAUUGUGCCCAGAGAACUUUAUUGUGAUUUGGGUGUGAGAACUUGUCUAAACCUUAUCAUUUAGAGGAAGGUGAAGUCGUAACA
rnacentral:rRNA from 1 species